AGGCCAUGAUGUGGGCAUUGUCUUUUUAGAUCCUUAAACCUCUCAUAAGCAUCAUAUAGAUAUUCAUCUUCCCGUUUAACAAAGGUGGUGAUUUCAUUCCUUAAUUU